CGUGGGUGUGAAGUGGCAUCUCAUUAUGAUUAUCAUAUCUUCUUAAAGAAGCAAACACAACCAAAUUCAGAAGAAUUUAUAAGGCUGGUAUCUGAUUGAAAAGGCCCCAGGAAGUGGAUUUUGCCUUCAGAGUUCAACUCCUCCUGUGGCGCAGUCCCAAAACACUAGGUGGCAUGAGCAGAACAAGGAGGCAUACACACUGCAGGCAAAACUGCAAAGAAAGGGGCCACUUUCAUUCUGCAUCCAUGGUGUAGAGUUAAAACCCAUCUAAGGAGACUUCCCAAGACUCUCUCUGGAUGACCACUGUGUUCCAUAAGUGCCCCUGUACAGCAGGAAGAUGAGGUGAUUUGCUAAGGUCUUUUCUAGCCUUGGAGAUUCUGGGAUUCUAGAAUUACUCUUUUAUAGUAAGACAUGAUCUCUGCAAUGUCGCUGAGAUUUAUAUGAGAAAAAAUGUUCUUUAGGGGCUAUCAAUUAAAACUUUAUACCACAAAA
rnacentral:antisense_RNA from 1 species